AACGAACGCUGGCGGCAUGCCUAACACAUGCAAGUCGAACGCCCCGCAAGGGGAGUGGCGAACGGGUGAGUAACGCGUGGGAACCUACCCAGCAGUUGGGGAUAACCGCGGGAAACUGCGGCUAAUACCGAAUACGUCCCAAGGGAGAAAGAUUUAUCGCUGUUGGAGGGGCCCGCGUCGGAUUAGCUAGUUGGUGAGGUAACGGCUCACCAAGGCGACGAUCCGUAGCUGGUCUGAGAGGAUGAUCAGCCACACUGGGACUUAGACACGGCCCAGACUCCUACGGGAGGCAGCAGUGGGGAAUAUUGGACAAUGGGGGCAACCCUGAUCCAGCAGUGCCGCGUGAGUGAUGAAGGCCUUAGGGUUGUAAAGCUCUUUUACCGGGGACGAUGAUGACGGUACCCGGAGAAUAAGCCCCGGCUAACUUCGUGCCAGCCGCCGCUGUAACAC
rnacentral:rRNA from 1 species